rnacentral:lncRNA from 1 species
AGCUAAGAGUGGGGGUGAUCUACCUGGGCUCACGUAUCUAGAUACGUCCAGAGGUGUUAACCCAAUUGUGCAUAAGUUGCCCUUUGGAUUACAGGAAAAGUGGAUGAUGCAGGGUUCGCAUUAUAAAUACACAUAUGGGUUCCUUUUCCUCCAUUCUCCUUUUUUGUUAAGUUUGUGUGUACAGAAGCAAGAGCAUGCAACAAUCCGAGCUUCAAUCUUUCUUCGCUCACCAUAGCCUCUGGUGGAAAAAACAGGUAUAGUGAAAGCCACACCCAUGUUCAGAGACCUGUCUCAGUCCAUAAAAUGGAUGUGAUGACCUCCUCUAAUCUGUCUCAUGUCAAGAGUUUUCAGAGAGGAGCCGAUGAGAUUGAUAAACAUUGUCCAAUACAUCGUAAGCCUCAUCCUCUCAAGAAAUGCAGAGGCUUUAGAGAGAAACCACUAGAGGAAAAGAUGAAGAUUCUAAAGGAGCUGUCCGUCUGUUAUAGAUGCUGCUCAUCAAACAAACACAUCGCUAAGAAUUGUGAUGUGUCAAUCGAAUGCUCUGAGUGCGAGAGUGACAAACACCUGGCUGCUCUCCACCCAGGCCCAUCACCAUGGCAUUCUGAUUCUAUACCUCCUUUACAGCACGGCGGAGAGAGUGAAGAGUCCUGUGGUGGUGACGUGUCAUCAAAAUGCAGCAAGGUCUGUGGCAAAGGGUUUAGUGAGAAGUCAUGCGCUAAAAUAUGUCUUAUAAAUGUUUAUCCUGCUGGAAGCCCCGACAAAAGCAAACGGAUUUACGCCAUCAUAGAAGAGCAGAGCAACAGAUCUCUGGCGAGGUCAGAGUUUUUCGACAUGUUCAAUGUUCAAGGGACCUGUGCUUUAUAUACAUUGAAAACAUGUGCUGGAGUCAUUGAAGCAUUUGGUAGAAGAGCGCAAGGGUUCAUCAUUGAGUCUGCAGAUGGUGAGAUUAGUUUUUCACUUCCUACUCUUAUCGAAUGCAAUAGUAUGCCAGACAACAGAGAUGAAAUACCAACUGCUGCUGCCGCUCUGCAUCAUAGUCAUUUAAAAGUAAUAGCAGACAAGAUACCACCUAUUGAUUCAAAUGCUGAAAUACUGCUCCUGCUUGGAAGAGACAUAAUAAGAGCGCAUAAAGUUUGCAGACAACUCAACGGUCCUCAUGAUGCGCCGUAUGCACAAAAAUUGGACCUCGGCUGGGUCAUUGUGGGAAACGUGUGUCUAGGGAAGUGUCACAAGUCCUCUCCAGUGAACUGCAUGAGAACACACAUCUUAGAGAAUGGCAGACCAAGCUAUUUCAGUCCAUGCGAUAAUCACAUUGUACUGAAGGAGAAGUUUAAUGAGAAAACCCAGUUACAAAAACCAUCAGGCUUAUCCAGCUGCAGAAUUCACUCAGUCUUUCAGCAGACCGAGGAUGACAAUAAAUUUGCACCUUCAAUUGAGGACGAAAUAUUCCUGGACAUAAUGGAAAAGGAAUUCUCCAAGGACUCAAGUAACAGCUGGGUGGCACCACUACCAUUUCGUGAGUCAAGGAGACACUUGCCCAACAACAGAGUGUACGCUGUUAAACGUUUCAUGUCUCUACGUCGCAACCUUGAUAAACGGCCAAAGAUGAGAGAGGAUUUUACAGAAUUCAUGCAGAGAAUACUCAACAAUAACCAUGCAGAGCUAGCACCUCCUUUACAAGAUGGCCAGGAGUGCUGGUAUCUUCCAUCGUUUGGCGUGUAUCAUCCCAAAAAGCCAG